AUUUGCGAGAGUUUAGCAGUUAAUCAGUGCGUUUGUCUGUGAGUUAAUCUCCCUGUGUAGUGGAUGGGUCCAAGUGCAAGGUCAGCUGACCGAGUUAUAAAUACCGUGGGGAAUAUGAGAGCAUGUUGUCGUUGAAAACCAGCCUGAGGUGCCGCGAGGAGAUGAGAAAAUGAACGUUUGAUUGACCUUCUGGGGAGUUCUACAAUACUGAUAAUUUAUUGCGUGGCAAAACUGAUUUCACAUUGCGUGAGUGGCAUUUCAUUCUGGCACAGGCACAUCUGAAGAAUGCAUGGAAUAAAAACAACGCUAAAUGGGAUUUUGCCAUGCCGACCCUGGAACAAAUUUUUGGCCAUUUCUCUCUCCUUCUCCCCACCCCCUCUCGUGAACUCCGCUGACCCUGGGGCCUAGGCGCAGACGGAUGUCAAUGUGCCUGUCCCAAAACAUGACCCAGGCACAUGGUUGCCUGACAGGGAUCAAAGGUCACGUCAGUAAAAUAUGACUCUAAAACUAGCUCAGUCUUCACAGACGAGUAGCCUGAGGGGGAAGAGGAAAGUACCUUUUUUUUUUACCAGGAGCAUGCACUUGAAUUUGGGGAGCAGUGUGCAUAAGAGAAAAAAAUAUUGCACUAUCUAACUGUGUUUGAUUGUUGUUUUACAUAUGACUAAAUUGCCACAGAAAAGAAAAGAAAAAUUAAAGCUUGUUUGUGAUAGAAAUGUA